rnacentral:rRNA from 1 species
AUACAGAGGGUGCGAGCGUUAAUCGGAAUUACUGGGCGUAAAGCGCGCGUAGGCGGCUUAUUAAGUCAGAUGUGAAAUCCCCGGGCUCAACCUGGGGACUGCAUCUGAUACUGGUAAGCUAGAGUUUUGGAGAGGGAAGUAGAAUUUCAGGUGUAGCGGUGAAAUGCAUAGAGAUCUGAAGGAAUACCAGUGGCGAAGGCGACUUCCUGGCCAAAAACUGACGCUGAGGUGCGAAAGCGUGGGUAGCAAACGGGAUUAGAAACCCUAGUAGUCC